AACGAACGCUGGCGGCGUGCCUAACACAUGCAAGUCGAACGGAAGUAAGAAGCUUGCUUUUUACUUUAGUGGCGCACGGGUGAGUAACGCGUAGAUAAUCUGCCUGGAGAUCUGGGAUAACACUUCGAAAGGGGUGCUAAUACCGGAUAAGCCCACGGAGUCCUUGGAUUCUGCGGGAAAAGGGGGGGACCUUUUAGGCCUUCCGUCUUCAGAUGAGUCUGCGUACCAUUAGCUAGUUGGUAGGGUAAAGGCCUACCAAGGCGACGAUGGUUAGCUGGUCUGAGAGGAUGAUCAGCCACACUGGAACUGAGACACGGUCCAGACUCCUACGGGAGGCAGCAGUGGGGAAUUUUGCGCAAUGGGGGAAACCCUGACGCAGCAACGCCGCGUGAGUGAUGAAGGCCCUUGGGUCGUAAAGCUCUGACAGAGGGAAAGAAAUGUGGGUGGCUAAUAUCCAUUCCACUUGACGGUACCCUCAAAGGAAGCACCGGCUAACUCCGUGCCAGCCGCCGCGGUAACAC
rnacentral:rRNA from 1 species